GCACACUUAUUACUGCUGCAACUACCGAAAAACACACAUUGAUUGAUCACCUUUACAUAUCACAGCCAUACGCCUGCCUCCAAUCAGGUGUUCUGAGUACAUAUCACAGUUAUCACAACCCCAUUUAUUGUGUAAUUCACUAACACAAAAUGACUGCAAGGUUGUGAGGGAUAUGGACUUGCCAAGUGAUCUUAGAGUCUUUGCAACUGAGCACACUCUACCACCAACAAGGACAGCUCACCAGUGGGAGCUGAUACAUAAGACUGCUCUCAUCCAUUGAAGAGCUGACCAGAAACGUGAACAGAGAGACUGCAACUGCACCUGAUGGAUCCCUGCCAUAACAGAUGUGUUCUGUCCAGUGAAGGCAGUGGAGAAGCCCUACACUGAUCUUGAAACUGUGCCACGCUAGUAGAGACCGGCUACAAGGAUCGGCAGCUGUUUUCGCAAAGUCAGCCAACCACUUGCUUCCAAAUGACCCUUAUCCAGAAGUAUCC